CCCUUAGAUGUUCUGGGCCGCACGCGCGCUACACUGUUCGACGCAGCGAGUCUUAACCUUGACCGAAAGGUUUGGGUAAUCUUCAGCAAAGUCGAACGUGAUGGGGAUCGAUCAUUGCAAUUAUUGAUCGUGAACGAGGAAUUCCUAGUAAGUGCAAGUCAUCAGCUUGCGCUGAUUACGUCCCUGCCCUUUGUACACACCGCCCGUCGCUACUACCGAUCGAAUGGUUUAGUGAGAUCUCUGGAUUGACGCUGGCUAGGGGGCGACCCUUGGCCAGACUGUUGAGAAACUGCUCAAACUUGAUCAUUUAGAGGAAGUAAAAGUCGUAACA
rnacentral:rRNA from 1 species